GAGGGUAGAGCUCAGUGGUAGAGCAGGUGCUUAGCAUGCACGAGGUCCUGGGUUCAAUCCCGUUUCCAUUA
rnacentral:tRNA from 1 species